rnacentral:rRNA from 1 species
UACGAAGGGGGCUAGCGUUGCUCGGAAUCACUGGGCGUAAAGGGUGCGUAGGCGGGUCUUUAAGUCAGGGGUGAAAUCCUGGGGCUCAACUCCAGAACUGCCUUUGAUACUGAGGAUCUUGAGUUCGGGAGAGGUGAGUGGAACUGCGAGUGUAGAGGUGAAAUUCGUAGAUAUUCGCAAGAACACCAGUGGCGAAGGCGGCUCACUGGCCCGAUACUGACGCUGAUGCACGAAAGCGUGGGGAGCAAACAGG